ACCAGCCAAAUUAGUCUUCUCCUAGUUGGCACAGACAGUGACAGUCAGGCCGUAGCACGACAGUCUUGUCCGGAUGCCGUUGACCGCUGCUCUGACGAUAUUCACUUUCUAGCGCUGUAUUUAGGAGGUAACUCGAUACAAUAUGUUAAUUAAAUAGCGGCAUUUUAUUAUGUGGAUGACACAAACAACAAUUAUUUUAUGGCACUAGCUAGCUAGCUGCAGAGGGAUGCUGUCAAACCAACGAUAUCAACCGGUGUUAGCUAACGUUAGCUUGACUGCUAGCAUGUCCUGCACUCAGCUACAGUGAUUGGAUAAUGGUAGCCAUUUAACGUAACCUAUGCAAACAUGCGCUAUCCGUUAUAAUGGGGUGAAACAAAUUAGCUACCCAUAUGUUAUAGUCUUUUGACUAUUUUCACGGAGGAAACAUAAUUAUGCAAUCUAGCUGAACGGUAUGGUUGUAGGCAUUGAGUUAGUCUGGGAGUGGUUACAAUAACGUUGCAUUGUAGAAAGCGUGGUGACUGGCUAGCUUUGCAAAAUGAUGUUUAUCACUUGCUGUCGCAUUCUUUUCGGCCUGAGCGUUAUUGUGGAGCCCUGCCACGUGGUGUUGAUUCGUAUAAUGAGUGAUCAUUAUGUAAAAGUGAAGGUUCAACUCGAACAAAUGAAAUCAUCAGGUGUUGGCGCGGAGGAGGGGGCAGAUAUUAUUGAUGAUGAGGUGUGGGUGGCAUCCCUGCUCUCAUCUGUCUCCUCUGGUGGCACUGAAGCUCAGCAUCAGGUAGCUCAAAUGGAAAGAGGCCUUGAUAAAGAAUAGCAUAGUAGGCCUACAACACAUUGAUGAGGGGACACUAUCUCUGUUAACCCUGUCACUCCAAUGUGACGGCUCUAUGGCCCAGUAUAAACAGCUACACAGCCUUAACCUUGGACUGUGGUAGCUGAAAAGUUGUCCCAAAUGGAAAGCGAUAUCUUUAAUAGACUUAUUAGAUGGCUAAUUGAUACGGGUCCCCUCACUUCGGCAGGCGAGCUCCAUCAGUUCGGCCCUACAGGCGUUGAAUGUGGCGCAAUUAAUACCUGCUAUUGGCCGUUAUCAACAGUGUAGUUCAUUAUACACGAGGAGCAGUGGAGGGUGAAGCCAUCAGACAGUUAGAGGUAAAAUGCUCCUCACUACCACCAUGGAUGACCAUCAUGCGUCGAAAUGUAAUCCCUCCCAAGUAUGGCACAGCAGAUCCGAUCAGGUUUCAAAACUUUGUAGACAGAGGCCUUAUUACAUUACCCUUUGCCCUGACAGAUACAUCUUCUACAAAGUCAAGGACCUAACUGAUCCUCUGUCAGUUUCAAAAGAGCUUUGACGUGCGGUGCUGAGGUAUAGUGUAAGUUGGAAAGCCCAUUGACCUAAGUAUAUUAAGGCACACCCACCUUUCAGUGGCAGGAGAUAGGCCUAACAAUCAUCUUAACUUGUUGUGGGUGCUUUUUCACCCUAGGCUUUAGCCUAGUGCAUGGAGAAGAGGAACUUGAGCAAUUGAUUGAUAUCUAAUCUAUGUAAUGCACUCUGCAUGAGUUUUUGAAGAUGUUGACCCAUAUGAAAACCCAAUUAUGACAGUAAUUGCAUUUAAUUCCUAUGGCAGGAGCAGGCUUAGUUGAUUCCAGAGUCAUUUACAGUAUGACUCUGGUUCUCAACUCAGAUGUUCACUGAUAACCAGUAGGGGACAUGCAGUAUAAGUUUUUUCAGUAGCCUAACAUGUCAUUGGAUCUGCUUGCUGUGCAUUGCCUCAAUAAAUACUGUGUAUUUCUCUGCAUGACUGUGUAUUAGUGUGCCUAUAGAAAAUAUGUACCUUGAUUUUAGAUUUUAGUUUUUUUUUCACACAAUACAUCAUAAUGUCAAAGUUGAAU
ensembl:lncRNA